rnacentral:rRNA from 1 species
UACGUAGGGGGCAAGCGUUGUCCGGAUUCAUUGGGCGUAAAGAGCGUGUAGACGGCCAGGUAGGUCGGUUGUGAAAACUGGAGGCUCAACCUUCAGAGGUCGACCGAAACCAUCUGGCUAGAGUCCGGGAGAGGAGAGUGGAAUUCCUGGUGUAGCGGUGAAAUGCGCAGAUAUCAGGAAGAACACCCGUGGCGAAAGCGGCUCUCUGGAACGGUACUGACGCUGAGACGCGAAAGCGUGGGGAGCGAACAGG